AUUAAACUGGAAUAAAAUAUUAAAUCUUAUUCCUUUCUUUUUAAGAAAAUCAUUUAUAAUAUUAAUAAAAAUAUUUUUAAAAUCCGGGUCAUUACAAUCUACCCUCCUUAUAGGGAUUCCGUCCUCGGAAUCAGAGAAAGAAGGAGGACGCAUAAUCAGUAUAAUCCAUAUUAAUCCACAGAACAAGUAUAAUCAUAUAAAACUAUUCACAUAAUCAAUUCACUUUUCAACUAAAGCCAACAAUAAUAUUUAGACAAAUAGAUUUAUAAUAAUCAAUUGUAAAUUUAAUAAUAUGGGAUAUUACAUUCUACCCCCCUUAUAAGGAUUCCGUCCUCGGAAUCCUCCGAAGAAACUAAAACGUAUUACUUAGGAGAUUCCACUAUACGCUUCGUCAUAACUUAUCAUCAUUCACCUUCGAUCGGCCUUGGCAUACCUUUAACUUUAAAGAAAUUUGGAGAAUCAACUUUCACAAUUACAGAAUUCAUUUCCCCAAAAAUCAAUCUUUGAAAAUUUUGAGGAAUAAGAUGUUUUGAAAUUAGGUCACAUUUGAAUACAAGAGUGACUGGGAGAUCGAUACGAUCAAUUGAACUUAAUGUUGCGUGUCCAUUUUAGACACUACUAAAGGUUGUUAACCUUCUUGUAAUCACAACACACACAAGUGAUGGCGUCCCAUCCAACUCCUAUCACACAGACAGGUAUACCUUGUGUCCCCUAUAAAUAGGGUUGUUCAUCCCAAUCAAAUUGAAGAAAUGUCAAGGAAUAUCAACGAAUGUCAAGGAAUAUCAACUAUAUCAAAGAACAUCAAGGAAUAUCAAAGAAGAUGAAAGAGUAUCAAGGAAUGUCAAGAAAUGUUAAACAAUAUCAAGAAACAUCACUGUCUCUUCACAACAACCUUUAUCACACAUCUUUGCCUUCCAACUCAUACCAAUAGUCAAUACCAAUAUCAUCUUAGAAUUUGAGAAAUUGAAGAUCUCAUUUAUCAAAACUUUUGUAGAAAAGACAUCAUGAUAAUAUCUCACUGAUGAGAAAACAAUCAAAAGAAUCUUUAGUUGAAGAGAGGUAUUGCCAAGGUCUUCUCCAAUUUCCACUCUACCCCAUGAAAUCGUUAUUCAAUUUAUGUCAUCUUUUCAACGUUCUCGAUAGUCGAUUGACGUGCAUUUGUAGCAACCUUGUAGAAUUUCAUCGUAGACGUUAUCGUUCGUAAUAAGUCUUGGCCUCCACUUCAUCCCCAUUAUCUGUGAAGUCAAUAGCAAAACACGUAGCAUAUCAUCGAUUGUCUGGAUCAUCAACCUGUGGGUUAUGGGCCCACCCUGAUGCCAUUUGAAAUCCCGAUUAGCUCGAAGCGUUGUCGUCGAGGACUAACGUUCUAACUUACUCGUAGACAUCAUCUCUAAUAACUGGACUCAAUUCCACGUACUCUCUAUCAUUGACUUCUCAUCUAUCAAUCAUGACAACUUCUCAUCUAUCAACCUCUAUCUACAAAUCUCUCCUUCUGAUUCAAUACAAUUCAGAUCUUACAGUAACUCUUCAUAUCUUCACUCAAAACAAUAUACAUCUUCCAAAUAUCUGACAUGGUCAACAUACUAUGAACCAUGCAUUUAUAUCAUUCUCAAUUCAAUACAAUAGACCAUUUUCAACUAUGCAGUAUAGUCAGAAUACUCUGAACUCUGCAUUUUCACCAUUCUCAACUCAAUCAUUCAUUAUCAAACUCUUCUGUCUAGGUCUAAUACUGACCUUUUCCACAAUUCACCAUCUUAAUUAAUCAACAUACUAGAAAUCAUAUGUCUAACCUUAAGAAUCCUAAUCUCUUUAAAUAUCCACACUUAAUUUGAUCAUUUAACUAGACUCUAUGCUUCACUCACAUCUCUAGACUAUGUCCAAAUAGUCUCACAAUACCUCGAUACGAGGUCACACUACGUCUAACCUAUAUAAAACUUAAAACUAUAAUCUAUAUUCAAAUUCCAAUAACUUGUAACCUGUGGCUCUGAUACCAACUGUGACGGUCCGGGAAUCCGGGGGUCUGGAUUCUGACGUCACCACACAAAACCCUUUUUAAAAUACUUUUGAAACCUGGUAUUUUCAUUUAAAGAUAAUGAAAAUCCAAAAGAAUUUAAAACUUGAAAACAUUUAAUAAAAACUUUGAAUGAGAACAUAAAUCAGACGAUUUCAAAACCUGAAUUUCAAACUUGAAAACCAUAAUAAAAGAAUUUCCAGAGAACCUUUAAAAUUUAAUAAAUGAUUCGAAAGAGAACAUUUUUAACCCCCAAAAACAACAGGAUCGCUUCCAGGUUACAGUAUUGAAAUUAGAAUCCACCACUAAUAUUACACAACAUCUCUUACCAAGUCAGAUCAUCUUCGAUAAGAAGAAUCACUGUCAGCCAUUCCAGCUAUGACUUACACUCUAGCUUGCACCAAUCUCAUCACUUUCCUGAACACUCCUCGACCACUGGAUCCUCAACUCUGUCUCCUCGUCUAACAUUAGCCUUAUUCACAAUCUCAACCAAUCAUCUCAUCUUUCAGCCUUUCUGAAAUGGUUAGAAAGGAAUAGCAAGAGUGAGCAACAAUGCUCAGCAAGUAAUAAUAAACAAUGAUAAUUCUGAAAUGAUAUAACAGAAGAUCACGAAUUCAAGAUAUAAAAGAUUCAACCUGAAUUCACAAAUUCAGGUAUUGUGUAAAAGAAUCACAAUACUUUGCAGCAAUGGAAACCUGAGGAAUUCAAUCCUUCAUAAGAGAAUUAUUGAAUUGGACUAUCACAUUUUAAUUAAAAACCAAGGUCAGGAUGCUGAUCAGUCAUACCUAACCCCGAGCAGGCCCCGCCAUGCUCUAUCACAGGAUCCAAGGCACUCAUUGGCCUAGCAUGACCACGAAUCUGGUCUGACCACUAAUUUGGUCCACAUAAUUUUUUUUUAUAAAAACAAUAAUCCAAUUCCAUAAUUCAAUUCAAGAAGCCAAUGUAAGUUAACAGAACAUAAUCAUAAUCAUCAUCAACCACUGAAUAAUUCCAAAUCAAACUUUGAUAAUAACUUUCCAUAAGUCACAGUCCAUCCUUCCAUAAAUCAUAGUUCAGGAAAUCCCUAACUAUUCAAUAUCCUCCAUUAUCGGCUAUUCAACUGAGUUUAGCCUGCUAAACCAGCAUGACAAUGGCGGUUUGAAUAAUCAAGAAGAUCCCAAUUCAUUCAAAGCUCUAACUAUCACUGAGCAACACAUGCUUCAAUGACAAUCUGAACUUCGAAUUAAUUUGUAAAACGGAAAUUAUCUGAAUUUUCGAGGAUUAGAAAAGGAUGGAUAAGAAUAUUUGCAUUUGCCAAAUAUGAAAAAGAAAGGAACGAAUAUUUGCAACACAUUCGAAAAGAAUGGAUCAGAAUAAUCGCAAGAUAUCCAAAAGAAGGGUAUAGGAUACUUGCCUUAAACCUGACUCCAGUCUCACAGCUCAUUCUCAUCUUUCCACUUUCACAAUCUCAUACUUUAUGCAUAUCAUAGUCUCUAGGCCAUCUCUGGCUAUACUCUAUCUACCGUACAUCUUCGCUUCGCUUACUUGAUUCAUCCCUUAUUCGCUUUGUAACACCACGUGACUUUCUGAACGUCUUCGGGCAUACACGUCUCGUCCAAAUCCUUAACGAGAAUAAGAUAAUACUAUAGUCACUAAUCAAUUUAUCGCAUGUACAUAUCACGUAUAUCGAUACCCACUUAUAUAUCCCUUUACCUAUCAAAUAUCACUUAACACAUAAUCAUGCUUUGACUCUACCAUAUAGUCAAGUCAUAUUCCACAUAACAUAUCACAAAUCAAUUAUCAUAUAAAUCCUAUCGAUAAUCCGGCAGCGUCUCGUCUCUUUGUAAGACUAUCCACAUGUCAACUUAUUCUCAAUCAACAACCAAUCAACCAAUUCCACUUCCUAUACUCCAUAUGUUCUUAUAUCAUAUCAGUCAAGUCAUGACACUAUGUCAUUCAAAUCAUUUAUCAUGUAUAUAAUAUCAAGAAUAAGCAUAUAUAUCACGUACUCAUCAAUUAAUAGCAAUCAAAUAACAUAUAAUCACAUUCGGCACAUUUCACAACAAUUAUUCACAUUCUCGACUCCAUCAUAUUAUUAUGUCAUAUCAAACUAGACUUUAUAAGCUUUCAUCUCUCUUUCGUUUCACUUGAUUCCGACUUACGGAUCAAAAGUUAUGACCAAAACCGUUUUCUGACUCCGCUCUCAACAUAUAAUACCUUACACCGAUAGCAGACAACGCAUUACACAUUAAGUCUCCCAUCCCAAUUGAUCUUAAAUCAAGUCUUGGGUUAAAAAUGAUUUUUCGGGAAUUUUCUGGAAUUUUUAAACAUUUUUCGGAAUUAAAAUCGAUAAAAGAAUCACUUUUCGGAUAAAUAAUCAAGUCCCAAAUACUUGAAAUUGGACUUGAAAUCAUUCAUAAACAAUUGUCGAGCCUUGAACAUAAUUUAGA
rnacentral:lncRNA from 1 species